UACGUAGGGUGCGAGCGUUCAUCGGAAUUACUGGGCGUAAAGUGUGCGCAGGCGGCGUCGCAAGUCGAGUGUGAAAGCCCCGAGCUUAACUUGGGAAUUGCGCUCGAAACUACGAUGCUGGAGUGUGGCAGAGGAAGGUGGAAUUCCACGUGUAGCGGUGAAAUGCGUAGAGAUGUGGAGGAACACCGAUGGCGAAGGCAGCCUUCUGGGCCAACACUGACGCUCAUGCACGAAAGCGUGGGGAGCAAACAGG
rnacentral:rRNA from 1 species